GGAGCGGUGUCCGAGUGGUCGAAGGAGCGCGACUGGAAAUCGCGUGCUCGCCGAAAGGCGGGUCGUGGGUUCGAAUCCCACCCGCUCCGCCA
rnacentral:tRNA from 2 species